GAUUUCUGGCUUGGUGCGCCUGGUCCGCCAGCGUUAGCUGUGUGAGUACCGGGACGCGCCUGCCAUCCUUCCAGAGAACACCUCUACUCUUCAUUGAGCCGGAGGUGCCAUCUGGAUCUUUUACUUUGAAAAAAUUAGAGUGUUUCAAGCAGGCGUUUUGCUAUGAAUACAUUAGCAUGGAAUAAUGAGUUAGGACUUCGGUUCUAUUUUGUUGGUUUCUAGGACUGAAGUAAUGAUUGAUAGGGAUAGUUGGGGGUGCUAGUAUUCAGCGGCCAGAGGUGAAAUUCUUGGAUUCGCUGAAGACUAACUUAUGCGAAAGCAUU
rnacentral:rRNA from 1 species